GACGCAGCAACGCCGCGUGGAGGAUGAAGGUCUUUGGAUUGUAAACUCCUGUCAGCAGGGAAGAUGAUGACGGUACCUGCAGAAGCAGCUGCGGCUAACUACGUGCCAGCAGCCGCGGUAAUACGUAGGCAGCAAGCGUUGUUCGGAGUUACUGGGCGUAAAGGGUGUGUAGGCGGUUGUUUAAGUUUGGUGUGAAAUCUCCCGGCUCAACUGGGAGGGUGCGCCGAAUACUGAAUGACUAGAGUGCGGGAGAGGAAAGUGGAAUUCCUGGUGUAGCGGUGAAAUGCGUAGAUAUCAGGAGGAACACCGGUGGUGUAAACGGCUUUCUGGACCGUAACUGACGCUGAAACACGAAAGCGUGGGGAGCAAACAGGAUUAGAUACCCUGGUAGUCCACGCCCUAAACGAUGCGCAUUUGGUGUAGGUCAUUCAGUUGAUCUGUGCCGGAGCUAACGCGUUAAAUGCGCCGCCUGGGGAGUACAGUCGCAAGGCUG
rnacentral:rRNA from 1 species